GCUGAGUGAAGGGGUAUUUUCAGAGAUCAACUACAGAAUGUGACUUCCUUUUCAACUAACAUACAGGAAUUAUUUUAUAGAACAGCAGCCCUCAUCAAAAGGAAGUCUCUGCUCUUUCUCCUCUCCACUCUUUCUUCUCUGUGUGUUUUGGUUAGUCAACUGCUAGCUACCAGUGACAGUGAUAGAUAAGGACAUACAGCCAGAGGAAACAGUCAUACAACGCCUUAACAAGAUGUCUAGUGGUCCCUUCUCCUGCUUCUCCAAACAGGAAAUAUUCCUUCUCCAACCUCCACUAUGGUUCUUGUUGCAACAGAAUAUUCUGGCCCCACCAGCCCCAGAUGACCAACCUGGACCCCCAACAGGACCAACGAUCUACCCAGGGCCGAGCUCCUGAUGCUGGGUAUACAUGUCUGCAGCAUGGUGGCACCAACCUCUAUGAUACAAUCACUUCCUCAGACAAUAAUGACAGUGAUGCUGGUGCUGCUACUGCUGGAUCAAGUGAUGUGAUGUACGCCCAGAUUCAACUCAAAAAGUUGGGCAAGAAAAAGAAAAGUAAUUCUCAACUGUCACAUAAAUUAAUACAAAAUGUA